rnacentral:rRNA from 1 species
UACGUAGGUGGCAAGCGUUGUCCGGAUUUACUGGGCGUAAAGGGCGUGCAGGCGGUCUGUUAAGUGCAGGGUGAAAGCUCCCGGCUCAACUGGGAGAGGUCCUUGCAUACUGGUGGACUUGAGGGGGGUAGAGGAAAGUGGAAUUCCCGGUGUAGUGGUGAUAUGCGUAGAUAUCGGGAGGAACACCUGUGGCGAAGGCGGCUUUCUGGGCCCUACCUGACGCUGAGACGCGAAAGCGUGGGGAGCGAACCGG